UCCAUGACCCUGGGAUCAUACCCUGAGGUGAAAUCAAGAGUCAAAUGUUCAACUGAGCCACCCAGGCACCUCGUUUUUAAUAUGAUUUUAAGGAUUGACUAAUGAUUGUAGAGAUUUGAUAUCAGUAGAAGUCUGAUGCUCUGGUCUUUCUUUCUAUUAAAUCUAAUGAUUGCUAGGGCAGAAAAAAGUACUAUUACAGCUGAAAACACUCCAUCAUGUGGUCUUAGUCGCCUGUUAUUAUAUCAGCAGUUGCUUGCAGGAGAAGGAAAGUAGCUGUUCACCUGGAGCUGUUAGGAAUAAUCAUUUUGGCUGUGAUAAUAAUCUCUUUGAAUUAAAAAUUUGUCAUUCAUAAGAUUCAUAAGAUGCUAAGCAGGUUGUCUUAAAUAGGGAAGGAAUGGAAGAAACUAAUAGUUGUUUGAGUUCCCACUAUGUGGUAGGCAAUUUAGAUACAUCAUCUCAUAUUAUCUUCCCAAUUCAAGUAUGAAUUACCACAUUUAGUAGAUAGGAAAGUGUAACUCAAAAAAAUUAAGUAGUUUGCUUGAGAUCAGAGCUAAUAAGUGGUAGAAUUGGAAUUUAUAUUGUGGCUUGUCAGGACUUCAAAGAUUGUAACACCAGUAAUUCCAAAAGGACUAAAAUCAGUAACCAUUUACUGAUUUGUAGAGUUUGUUUGCCUAGCCACUCUCUUGCAGAGAUUGCUUUGUGUUGCCAAGUCAGCAUUUAUUAUAGGUUAUGGACUUGAAAGUCUGAUGGACUUGAAUGUUUGUGCCUCAGGGCAUUAUUUUUCCCCAACAAAUUUCUCGCUAAAUUAAGAGUUGCCUAAGGGCAGAGUCACAUUGUCUCUGGUUCAUUGUUUAUUUGAAACAGAAGUCCAUAAUUGGCAGAUUUUUGUAAACCAAGUAACCAGUAGUUGAUAGAGAGUUAUCCGUGUUACGGCAAAAAAAUUCCUUUUUACUAGUUCUUACCUUUAUCCACCCAGGGAUGAUUCUGAUAACAGAAUAAUUCGUGCAGCAGUCACUGAAGGGAGGAUUUUCUUCCUCUACUCAGUACUGCUUCAUUGAGGGUAGUUCUUGCCCCAUGCCCCUGAGUAGUGAUCACUUUGCUGACAUACAGACUGUGGAGUCUUAACCCUCCUGAUGAUGUCACAUCAGAGCGCACUGUUCCUGACUAGAAAUGCCCUGGUUUGGAUUCAUCAGCAUUUCUUAGAGAGGUCUCCACCCUUUCUUUUGCUACUUUGCCAGGAGGACUGUAUUAAGACAUUUCUCUCUCCUAAGGUUGCCUUGUAAGAAAUUUGUCUACUUGCUAUACAAUCUCAUUUACCUCCCUUAAGUCACUUAAGUCAGUGCUCUAAGUUAUACUGUGUUGCUUCUAAAUGGGAACCUACCUCUGAGUUACAAAGAACAUAUCUCUUAAUGUCAUAACAAGACAGGAAAAUGAACUUCAUAUAGUGGCGAGGGCAGAUGUAUUAUUGAUUUAUAUGACUUGUAGUGCCUGGCCAUUCAUUUGUACUGUACAAAUGUAAAGAGCACUAACCAAGUUUGACAUUUUAAGGUGAUAGGGCUAUUUGUGAGCUGUCAGACUAGAGCUUAGAAGCACCAGGUUCAAGUUUUGGAUUCAUCAUGGUGACGUUGCUAAGUUAUG